CCAUGGGUGUAGCAAUACACCGGAAGAUUUAGUGGCGAACGGGUGAGGAUCACGUGAGAAACGUGCCCCAGACUCUGGGAUAACAAUUGGAAACGAUUGCUAAUACCGGAUGACGUCGGAGAAUCGCAUGAUUCGCUGACGAAAGAUAUUUCGGUUUGGGAGCGUCUCGCGGCCUAUCAGCUUGUUGGUGGGGUAAUGGCCUACCAAGGCAACGACGGGUAGCUGGUCUGAGAGGAUGACCAGCCACACUGGGACUGAGACACGGCCCAGACUCCUACGGGAGGCAGCAGUGGGGAAUUUUGGACAAUGGGGGCAACCCUGAUCCAGCAAUGCCGCGUGUGUGAAGAAGGCCUUCGGGUUGUAAAGCACUUUUGUCAGGAACGAAACGGUGGAGGCUAAUACCUUCUGCUAAUGACGGUACCUGAAGAAUAAGCACCGGCUAACUACGUGCCAGCAGCCGCGGUAAUACGUAGGGUGCAAGCGUUGUCCGGAAUUAUUGGGCGUAAAGAGCUCGUAGGUGGUUUGUUACGUCGGUUGUGAAAUUCAGGGGCUCAACCCCUGACUUGCAGCCGAUACGGGCAAGCUAGAGUUUGGUAGAGGAGACUGGAAUUCCUGGUGUAGCGGUGGAAUGCGCAGAUAUCAGGAGGAACACCGAUGGCGAAGGCAGGUCUCUGGGCCAAUACUGACACUGAGGAGCGAAAGCGUGGGGAGCGAACAGGAUUAGAUACCCUGGUAGUCCACGCCGUAAACGGUGGGCGCUAGUUGUGCGAACCUUCCACGGUUUGUGCGACGCAGCUAACGCAUUAAGCGCCCCGCCUGGGGAGUACGAUCGCAAGAUUAAAACUCAAAGGAAUUGACGGGGCCCCGCACAAGCAGCGGAGCAUGCGGCUUAAUUCGACGCAACGCGAAGAACCUUACCAAGGCUUGACAUAUACAGGAAUAUGGCAGAGAUGUCAUAGCCGCAAGGUCUGUAUACAGGUGGUGCAUGGUUGUCAUCAGCUCGUGUCGUGAGAUGUUGGGUUAAGUCCCGCAACGAGCGCAACCCUCGUUCUGUGUUGCCAGCAUUUAGUUGGGGACUCACAGGAGACUGCCGGGGUUAACUCGGAGGAAGGUGGGGAUGACGUCAAAUCAUCAUGCCCCUUAUGUCUUGGGCUGCACGCAUGCUACAAUGGCUGGUACAAACGGCUGCGAUACCGCAAGGUGGAGCGAAUCCGAUAAAGCCAGUCUCAGUUCGGAUUGGGGUCUGCAACUCGACCCCAUGAAGUCGGAGUUGCUAGUAAUCGUAGAUCAGCAACGCUACGGUGAAUACGUUCCCGGGGCUUGUACACACCGCCCGUCACAUCACGAAAGUCGGUAACACCCAAAGUCAGUGGCCCAACCGCAAGGAGGGAGCUGCCAAAGGUGGGAUCGGUGAUUGGGAUGAAGU
rnacentral:rRNA from 1 species